UUUCAAGCUACUAAGGGCAAACAGUGGAUGCCUUGGCGAUAGGUGUCGAUGAAGGACGCGGCAAGCUGCGAUAAGCUGCGGGGAGCUGCAAACAAGCUUUGAUCCGCAGAUUUCCGAAUGGGGGAACCCCCUCCGGUAAAACCGGGGGACUCCCCGCUGAAUUCAUAGGCGGGGUAGAGGCAACCCAGGGAAGUGAACCAUCUCAGUACCUGGAGGAAAAGAAAACAAUCGCGAUUUCCGGAGUAGUGGCGAGCGAAAUGGAAACAGCCCAAACCGUUCGUAGCGAUACGGGCGGGGUUGUAGGACCGCAUUUAGCACCGCGAAGGUUAGUUGAACGACUUGGAAAAGUCGGCCAAAGAGGGUGAUAGCCCCGUAAGCGAAAACCGGAGUGGGCGAGCGGUAUCCUGAGUACCACGGGACACGUGGAACCCUGUGGGAAUCCGCCAGGACCAUCUGGCAAGGCUAAAUACAACCUAUCGACCGAUAGUGAACCAGUACCGUGAGGGAAAGGUGAAAAGAACCCCUGCGAGGGGAGUGAAAAAGUACCUGAAACUGUUUGCUUACAAGCAGUGGGAGGGCGUCUCGAGGACCUCUUCGGAGUUUCUCGGGGCCUGACCGCGUGCCUUUUGCAUAAUGAGUCGGCUAGUUAUUCUCAGCAGCAAGGUUAAUCCGUUCCGGAGGAGCCGCAGCGAAAGCAAGUCUGAAUAGGGCGAUUAGUUGCUGGGUAUAGACGCGAAGCGGGAUGAUCUAUCCUUGGCCAGGGUGAAAGUAGGGUAACACCUACUGGAGGCCCGAACCAGUGUUGGUUGAAAACAGCUUGGAUGAGCUGAGGAUAGGGGUGAAAGGCUAAUCAAAUUCCGUGAUUGCCCGUUCUCCUCGAAAUAGCUUUAGGGCUAGCCUCAUGUGAAUCGUUGUGGUGGUAGAGACCUGAAUGGACUAAGGGAGUUACCGCUCUACUGAAUCCAAUCAAACUUCGAAUGCCACAAACGAAUGCAUGGGAGUCAGACAGUGGGGGCUAAGCUUCAUUGUCGAGAGGGAAAGAGCCCAGACUACCAGCUAAGGUCCCAAAAUCGUUGCUAAGUGGGAAAGGAAGUGGAGGCGCCGAGACAGCCAGGAGGUUGGCUUAGAAGCAGCCAUCCUUUAAAGAAAGCGUAAUAGCUCACUGGUCAAGCGGCUCUGUGCCGACAAUUCAACGGGGCUCAAGCAACGUACCGAAGCUGUAGAUUGUCCGCCCUCGGGCGGGCACUGGUAGAGGAGCAUUCCCAAUAGUUUGAAGCCGGAGCGCAAGCACCGGUCGACGGUUGGGAAGAGACCCUGCCGACAUAAGUAGCGAUAACGGGGGUGGGAACCCCCCGCGCCGUAAGUCUAAGGUUUCCUGAGAAAGGUUAAUCCGCUCAGGGUUAGUCGAUCCCUAAGCUGAGGUCGAAAGGCGUAAGCGAUGGGAGAGCCGUUAAUAUUCGGCUACUACCUUGUUGACGUUAUCACGAUGGGGUAACGCAGAGUGCAAGAUGGGUCAGCGAUUGGUCGUGCUGAUGAACAUGGAUCCAUGGCGGCAGGAAAAUCCACCGCAAUCACAUGGUGAAGUGCGACGACGCCGUAAGGCUCCAAAGUCAUUAAGUGCCCUGCCAAGAAAAACCUCUAAGGAGUUGAUAAGGUACUCGUACCGCAAACCGACACAGGUAGACGGUCACUAAUGUGAUCAGGCGCUUGAGAGAACACUCGUUCAGGAACUCGGCAAAUUAGCUCCGUAACUUCGGAAGAAGGAGUGCCUCGAGCAAUCGGGGCCGCAGUGAAUAGUGCCAGGCGACUGUUUAACAAAAACACAGGUCUCUGCAAAGUCGAAAACGACGUAUAGGGGCUGACGCCUGCCCGGUGCUGGAAGGUUAAAGGGAGAGGUCAACCUGCGCAAGCGGGUGAAGCUUUGAACUGAAGCCCCAGUGAACGGCGGCCGUAACUAUAACGGUCCUAAGGUAGCGAAAUUCCUUGUCGGGUAAGUUCCGACCUGCACGAAUGGCGUAACGAUCUGGCAACUGUCUUAACGAGUGGCUCAGCGAACUUGUAGCACCGGUGAAGAUGCCGGUUUCCCGCAUCUAGACGGAAAGACCCCGUGCACCUUUACUAUACCUUGGCAAUGGACUAUGGUGCGGUCUGCGCAGAAUAGGUGGGAGGCUUUGAGACUGGGUUCUCGGACUCAGUGGAGCCGUCGUUGAGAUACCACCCUGAUUGUUCUGUGGUUCUAACCUACUCCACUCGACGUGGAGAGGGACACUGCCAGGCGGGUAGUUUGACUGGGGCGGUCGCCUCCUAAACGGUAACGGAGGCGCUCAAAGGUUAGCUCAGGGUGUUUGGAAAUCACCCCUCGAGUGUAAGGGCAUAUGCUAGCCUGACUGCGAGACCUACAAGUCGAGCAGAGACGAAAGUCGGACCUAGUGAUCCGGUGGUCCCGUAUGGAAGGGCCAUCGCUCAACGGAUAAAAGGUACGCCGGGGAUAACAGGCUGAUCUUGGCCAAGAGUUCAUAUCGACGCCAAGGUUUGGCACCUCGAUGUCGGCUCAUCGCAUCCUGGAGCUGUAGAAGGUUCCAAGGGUUAGGCUGUUCGCCUAUUAAAGCGGUACGUGAGCUGGGUUCAGAACGUCGCGAGACAGUUCGGUCCCUAUCUGAUGUGGGCGUAGGAGAUUUGAGGGGAUCUGUCCUUAGUACGAGAGGACCGGGAUGGACGAACCUCUUGUGUUCCAGCUGUCACGCCCGUGGCAUGGCUGGGUAGCGAAGUUCGGCCGUGAUAAACGCUGAAUGCAUAUAAGCGUGAAGCACCCCCCGAGAUCAGAUCUCCCAAUCCACCUCGGUGGAUAUGAAGGUCACCAAGAGACGAUUGGUUUGAUAGGUUGGAUGUGUAAGUCCAGUGAUGGACUUAGCUGACCAAUACUAAUUGACCGUUCGGCUUGAAUCU
rnacentral:rRNA from 1 species